AGUCAGCAGUGCAUGAACCAGUGGGAGUGAAGCCAAAGAUGAGUGAACACUCCCGGAAGUUGGAGAUCCCAGGAAUGUGGGCCAUCAGCAUAAUGCAGCAUUUAAAACACCACUUAUGAAGCAUGGUGUCAGAUCAGUCACAAUUUGUGAAAUGAUCCUCUGGACCAACUUUGUAAUGCGCUGCUAUGGCAGUCAAGGAAAGAAUUCUCUCGCAUUGCGCUGGGUUUCCCACCAUUCAGGAGAUGCUGUAGAAACAGAAAACUCAUUCUUAAACAUUGCAUCCUUCAUUCAGCCUCAUGAUGACAGGAUGGAAAACAGUCUCUCUUGGCCCACACAUGAGACUCAUUGUAAGAAUAUUUGCUCAGCUCCAAAUUCGUGGAUAGCUUUUGACUGACAUCUAUUCACUUCAAGGGUGAUUUUCCUGUUGGCAAGAGGCAGAAGAGACACACCAAGCAUCACCUUCCGGAACAAGCAAUUUAAGUACUAUAAUGAGAUGGGUCUUUUCAGAGUCUAUAAUUGGUGACAAGUGUAAUUACAAAAAAAAAAAAAGGCAGAAGAAAAGGUGAAGCAUUGCCUAACUUAAAACGUUCCUUUCUUGGAUACAAAACACUCCUUUUAGAGCAAGCUGCCUGUAUCACUCAAGGCAUUGUACAAACACAUGGGACAAGUCUACUCUUAGCCCAACUCAGCAUUUACACAGUGAAAGACUGACAGGCACAGGGUGAGAAUGGGAGGAUUCACUGGAUUCCUGACACCCUCCAACGUCUGUAAAUUCUAUUGGAAUAACCCAACACAGAUAUUCUAAUUUGAUUUCUUCUCCAACAGCUCCCAUAAUAGCUUCCCUCGCUGGUUCAUGCUGUUACUAAAUGCACACAGGGCAGCCUAUGUCACAGAAUCCACCUGGCUUCAGGAGCAACCAGUAGCCUUGUGCAUCUCCCGCUCAGUCAUUCAGCAUACCCAGCUAUUAAUCUCCACCGGGGCAUUUGUAGGCAUGGAAUGAGUUGACAAUUCCUGAUCCUUCUUGGCACAGUUAUUUUAUUAGCUGUGACUGGUUUCUUCCCAGAGUCACUGUUCUGCUCUUCAUCCAAGAAGAUGAGAUAACAGAAGCACAGUAGUAAGAAUUACUGAGGAUUCACCAGGUUCCAGCUUGGUGGAGAAAAAGAGAUGCCUGUGCUAUGUGCUCCUGGCUGUGGAGAGCUUCUAAUCAUAGAUUCUCCAUAGACACUGAUUAGAGUAUACAGAGCCGUGACUCCAAGGGGAAACGCAGGAUCAUCUUCUUGGAAGCCUUUGCUCAUAAUAUUUUCAACAACUGAUCAACACAGCAUUUCUACUACAUGCAUUUCUAUUUAAAGACACUGUAUUUAGAAUGUACUGAUGCUUUACCAGCUUUGACCUAAAACCAACUACACUAUAUUGCACACCUGAACAGUUUGUCUCUGAAAGGAACAUCCCAGCCUUCUUGUGCUGAUGAAUUGCAGCAGACAAUAUUUAAGGACAAUUUGAAAGAGUGGAGUGAGCAAUAGAAGCACAGAAGCAGGGAAUGUGGCAGUAAAUAGCUCAUGACAGGCCCACUGUUUACAGCGCAGAGCUGAUACAAGACGUUAGAGUGUCCCACUCAGCCAGGAACAUGGAGAUCAGGAGACACAACAUUUUCCCUGCUCUGAGCAUGUCUGCAGAUGACCACAUACAUACUGUAAGUAUUGAUUUGGGGGAGCGAUCAAUAAAUUUUAGCAA